rnacentral:rRNA from 1 species
GACGAACGCUGGCGGCGUGCUUAACACAUGCAAGUCGAGCGGUAAGGCCCUUUCGGGGUACACGAGCGGCGAACGGGUGAGUAACACGUGGGUGACCUGCCCUCAGCUCUGGGAUAAGCCUGGGAAACCGGGUCUAAUACUGGAUAUGACUCCAUGACGCAUGUUGUGGGUGAAAGCCUUGUGCGGCUGAGGAUGGGCCCGCGGCCUAUCAGCUUGUUGGUGGGGGAUGGCCUACCAAGGCGACGACGGGUAGCCGGCCUGAGAGGGCGACCGGCCACACUGGGACUGAGCACGGCCCAGACUCCUACGGGAGGCAGCAGUGGGGAAUCUUGCGCAAUGGGCGAAAGCCUGACGCAGCGACGCCGCGUGAGGGAUGACGGCCUGG